AACGAACGCUGGCGGCAUGCCUAACACAUGCAAGUCGAACGAUCCCUUCGGGGAUAGUGGCGCACGGGUGCGUAACGCGUGGGAACCUGCCCUUAGGUUCGGAAUAACUCAGAGAAAUUUGAGCUAAUACCGGAUAAUGUCUUCGGACCAAAGAUUUAUCGCCUUUGGAUGGGCCCGCGUUGGAUUAGCUAGUUGGUGGGGUAAAGGCCUACCAAGGCGACGAUCCAUAGCUGGUCUGAGAGGAUGAUCAGCCACACUGGGACUGAGACACGGCCCAGACUCCUACGCGAGGCAGCAGUGGGGAAUAUUGGACACUGGGCGAAAGCCUGAUCCAGCCAUGUCGCGUAAGUGAUGAAGGCCUUAGGGUUGUAAAGCUCUUUUACACGGGAUGAUAAUGACAGUACCGGGAGAAUAAGCACCGGCUAACUCCGUG
rnacentral:rRNA from 1 species